rnacentral:rRNA from 1 species
GACGAACGCUGGCGGCGUGCUUAACACAUGCCAGUCGAACGGAAAGGCCCUGCUUUUGUGGGGUGCUCGAGUGGCGAACGGGUGAGUACACGUGAGUAACCUGCCCUUGACUUUGGGAUAACUUCAGGAAACUGGGGCUAAUACCGGAUAGGAGCUCCUGCUGCAUGGUGGGGGUUGGAAAGUUUCGGCGGUUGGGGAUGGACUGGCGGCUUAUCAGCUUGUUGGUGGGGUAGUGGCUUACCAAGGCUUUGACGGGUAGCCGGCCUGAGAGGGUGACCGGCCACAUUGGGACUGAGAUACGGCCCAGACUCCUACGGGAGGCAGCAGUGGGGAAUAUUGCACAAUGGGCGGAAGCCUGAUGCAGCAACGCCGCGUGCGGGAUGACGGCCUUCGGGUUGUAAACCGCUUUCGCCUGUGACGAAGCGUGAGUGACGGUAAUGGGUAAAGAAGCACCGGCUAACUACGUG